rnacentral:rRNA from 1 species
AGGGAAUCUUCCUCAAUGUACGAAAGUCUGAUGGAGCAACGCCGCGUGAGUGAUGAAGCUUUUCGGAUCGUAAAACUCUGUUGUAAGGGAAGAACCAGUACGUCCGGCAAUGGACGUACCUUGACGGUACCUUAUUAGAAAGCCACGGCUAAACACGUGCCAGCAGCCGCGGUAAUACGUAGGUGGCAAGCGUUGUCCGGAAUUAUUGGGCGUAAAGCGCGCGCAGGUGGUUUCUUAAGUCUGAUGUGAAAGCCCACGGCUUAACCGUGGAGGGUAAUUGGAAACUGGGAGAUUUGAGUGCAGAAGAGGAAAGUGGAAUUCCAAGUGUAGCGGUGAAAUGCGUAGAGAUUUGGAGGAACACCAGUGGCGAAGGCGACGUUCUGGACUGUAACUGACGCUGAUGCAUGAAAGCGUGGGGAGCAAACA